rnacentral:rRNA from 1 species
GCGGCAUGCCUUACACAUGCAAGUCGAACGGUAACAGGUCUUCGGAUGCUGACGAGUGGCGAACGGGUGAGUAAUACAUCGGAACGUGCCCAGUAAUGGGGGAUAGCUCGGCGAAAGCCGGAUUAAUACCGCAUACGCCCUGAGGGGGAAAGUGGGGGAUCGCAAGACCUCACGUUAUUGGAGCGGCCGAUGGCUGAUUAGCUAGUUGGUAGGGUAAAGGCCUACCAAGGCGACGAUCAGUAGCUGGUCUGAGAGGACGAUCAGCCACACUGGGACUGAGACACGGCCCAGACUCCUACGGGAGGCAGCAGUGGGGAAUUUUGGACAAUGGGGGAAACCCUGAUCCAGCAAUGCCGCGUGUGCGAAGAAGGCCUUCGGGUUGUAAAGCACUUUUGUCAGGGAAGAAAUCCUUUGGGCUAAUACCCUAGGGGGAUGACGGUACCUGAAGAAUAAGCACCGGCUAACUACGUGCCAGCAGCCGCGGUAAUACGUAGGGUGCAAGCGUUAAUCGGAAUUACUGGGCGUAAAGCGUGCGCAGGCGGUUGUGUAAGACAGGUGUGAAAUCCCCGGGCUUAACCUGGGAAUUGCAUUUGUGACUGCACGACUAGAGUGUGUCAGAGGGGGGUGGAAUUCCACGUGUAGCAGUGAAAUGCGUAGAUAUGUGGAGGAACACCAAUGGCGAAGGCAGCCCCCUGGGAUAACACUGACGCUCAUGCACGAAAGCGUGGGGAGCAAA